rnacentral:misc_RNA from 1 species
CCCGGAAGAUCAUCUUCCGGGGGAUGCGGCGG